UUAUAUCUUAUCUUAUCAUUGUAAAUUUUUUUUUUUUUUAUCUUAUCUUAUAUCUAUUUUUUAGGAAUAUAUAUAUAUAUUUUUUAAAAGAUAAUUUUUUUUUACGUAGUGCCCGUAAAUACGAGUAAUUACUCGUACAAUCUUCGCAAGGCAAGAAGUGGGUUGUGAUUGGAAGGUAUUAUUCUCUCUCUUUUUCAAAAAUUUUUAUAUUUUUUGAAUUUUUAAAACUAUUAUAAUUUUUUUUAUCAAAUAUUAAAAAAAAAUCACUAAGAAUUAAAAAAAAUCGGAAAUCAAAUCAACUAAAAAGUCUUUAGAAACUAAAAACUAAUGUUGUUGAUUGGAAGUUCUCCCUUCUAUUAUGGGACAAGCCACCAUUAUUGUUUUAACUUUUUCCUCAAAGCCCACAAUUCGAACUAGGGCCCAUGAGUUAGUUUCGGCCUCGCAGACAUGUCUAAAUGGGCCUCUAGGUCCAAGUGCUUGAGCAUUCAUUCCAAUAGGAACAAGUCAGUGACGUCAGUCUCUAUCGGUUAAUUACCUUCUCAAAAAAAAAAUAACAAUGUUUUUUUUGGGGUAAAAUAACACAUACCUCGCCUGAGGUUCGUGAUUAAGGCUCCGUUUGGUACGAGUUUAUUUUUGAUUUUUUGCUUAAAUAAAGCAAAAAAGUUAAUCAUCCGUUUGGUUUAUUGGCUUUUUUUUGACUUUUUUACUUUUUGCUUUUUGCUUUUUGUAGUGCAAAUCAGAGGCCAAAAAAGCUAAAAAUUUAAGUUUUUUGAUUUUUUUCACUUUAGCGGAGCUCAGUGCUUAAUAAACGUUUGUUUUAUUCCAAAUAACCUUCACCCUAUCCAACCCCUUACCGUCACAUAGUUCGUCCCCAAAUCCCCCCACUUCACCACGCUCACAAGACAUCUCUCUCAUCUCGAGCAAGUCGCCUCUCCAUCUCUGAGAAAUCGAUUUCUCCCAGAAAAGCUGCCCAAAUGGAGAAGGAUUUUCCUCGGCUUCGAAACAUCAAUCUCUUCGCGACCUAACAUCGCUAAUGAGCUCAAGAUCUUCCUCCAAAACCACCAGCUCCCUCUGGGGAGAGAUUCGCGAAUGUGGGAUCAUCGAAAUGGUGCCUCUGUGGGGCAUUCGCCCGAGAAAUCGGUGGAUUUUGUUGUCCUCAGUACACGAAUUACAAGGUCAAUGGGUCGUGCCCUGAUGAUUUGAGCCUGGCUUAUAAGCUGAUUUUGCGAGGAUUGCGAGCCUCUGCCUAGAAGGAGGUGCUUCGCGAAGGCGAUUCCCCAAGGUGGGUCUUUACUCUUUCCCAAUUUCUCUUUGGAAGAAUGUUAGUGAUAAUUUUUUGAGUUUGGAGUGGACGUGGUUGCAAGAAUUUAGAAUGCUUGAUGAGAAGAGUGAAUUAAAGAUUUGUGUUGGUUGCUUUGACUCACGAAGGGUGUGAGAAUUAGAGGUAUGUUAAGCUAGAGGGAAAAAUGAUUUCCUAAUUCACGAUGUGUGGGCUUUGGGAACUGGUGAAUCAGAAUUGAGUUUGAUUUUGGUGGUGGGUCUGCCACAUUUGCCGCUGUAAUGGCAGAGAGGAAUGUGACUAUAUCACACGGAAAAGAAGAGGUUUUUAACCCGGUUAAUUGAACGAUUUGGGUACAAAAAACUGAAAUGGGUUGUGGAAGAGAAGGUUAAUGGGUCGGAAAAAUUUGAGGUUUAUUUGUCUGCAAAACGAAUUUUGUACUAGAAAUCAUCAAUAACUACUAACAUCAUACAGGAAUACCAAUAUUUCAAUUACCAAACAACGUCAUAGGUAAGAUAGUCUAAUAUUGAAAAAAUUCCUAUACAAGCUUAAGCUAUAUCAAACAAGCAUGUUUUAAAAACUUGAGUUUUUUCAGCUUUUUUCAAGCGAUGCCAAACGCCACAGGAUGGCUUUUUCUAAUCUAGUUUUUCUGUUAGCUUAUUUUAAACAACUUUUUUACUUAAAAUAAGCACUACCAAACGGAGCCUAAGCUGAUUCCCCAAGGUCUUGGAAAUUAGAUUUUCCUCCCUGUCAGAAUUUGUCUUUUAACAGCCUUGAUAGAAAAACUUGUAAAUACUAAAUUACCCUCAACUUAUUCCUCUUCUCUCUCAUGUUCCUCACCAAACCCAAAUAAUAUGUCAAUCCUUAUCUUAUUCCUCUUCUCUCUCACGUUCCUCACCAAAUCCAAAUAAUCUCUCAAAAACACUCACCUUCUUCUUUUUCCUUUUCCUCUUCCUCUUCCUCUUCCUCAUCCACUUCUGGUGGAUUAAUGGAGGAUGUGGCAGAUGUUAGUUUUCAGGACCUCAGGGUAGGUAUGUGUAAUUUACCUUUUUUUUUUAGUUCUGAUGCUUCUAUUGCAAGUUCACAUUUAUUUAAAAAAAUUGUUGGAUAAUGAUAUCGGAAAGUUCUCAAAGAAUUACAAAUUAGUUUAUAUAUAUAUGUAGGAUUUUUUGCUUGAAUUUAAUAUUUUAGACAGUCUACUAUUUUAUGGGCAUAUGUUUAUGUAUUUUUUUUACGAAGUUAUAAUAUCAGUUUGUGUUUUUCUUCUAAAUUGUACUCCCUCAGUUAUAAUUUAUUUAUUCACUUUGACCCUCUUAAAAGUGAACAAAUAAGUUCAGAGAGAGUAAUAGUCUUUGGGCCAAGUUUUCCUCUUCUCCACUGAUUAUACAAGUUGUACAAACUUGUGGGUCUCACCACGAGCUUUGUUUGGAUGAUUUGAAUUACUUAUUUUGUAAAUUUUGAAAUAUUUUAGAUUUUAGUAUCUUUUCCUAAAAAAUUAUGUUUAUUUUUAUCAAUUACUCUAAUGAAAGAUAAAUUGAUUUUUUUAAAAAAAUUGAGCAAAAAAUAAAAAAUGUUUACCAAUUAGAAAAAUAAUUCAAAAAAAUUAAUUCGACAAAAUGGGCCGACAUAACAUAGAUGAACCUAUAUAUGAGACAAUGCCCAAUUUAGAAAAUUCAACCAUGUGCAUCGCACGUGCCUUCACACUAGUUUACUAAAAUGUCCUCCUUAUAUUAUUCUUGUAAAAUUUUCUUUAUAGAUUUUUCGUAGAAUAAUGGAUUUAUGUCUUUUAAUCUCCGUAUACGUAAAUAGUUAAUUAAGUAGAAAUCAUUUUUAACUUAAGAGAAAUACUAAUCACAAGGCCGAUCAAGAGUUUUUGGGAGCUAGGCCUCUUUUAUAUUUUAGGACAAUUUAAAACAAAAAUAUAUAUGAACUUUAAAAAGAUGUCAUUAGAAGAAUAUAAAGGGGAUAAACAUUUCGUUUUUCCUAUGUUGUAAGGAAAGAGAUGCGAUUAUUAUUUGUCUAGUAUUCUAUUCGUUAAGCAUGCCAUCAAAACGAAACAUUGAUUAAGUGUUUACAUUUAUAUAGUUCCAAAAUUUUAUGAUUUUAAAAUAUCUAUAUAUAUAUCUUAUUAAUAUAAUAAUAAAUUAUAUAAUAUAUUGUUUGAAAAUUGUUUAUAACUUUAGAAUUUUUUUGUAAUUUUUUUUAAAAAAAACAUUGUGUAAUGUUGGUAAAAAUUUAAAAUAAUGACGCAGUACGAACACAUUAAAACACAUAUGCCUCAUCUUAACCCGCAAUCCCAAAAUCCAACCCCCCGCCCCACUUCCAUCACCCGGCAACACCCUCUUCCCAAUCCCUAUGCAUAUUGAAAUUAAAUAAAUAAAAGACAAAGAUUAUCACAUCUGAAAUUCAUUCAUUAGCACAUAAAAUUUAUAGGUUCCUCCUUUCAAUUAUUAGGACUCAACUGAAGCAUUAUAAAUAUCUGGGUAAAUUACAAAAAUGAUCCUUGUAAGUUUUAUCCAUCAACGAUUUGGUCUUUAUAUUUUUAAAUCUUGCAAUUUUAACCUUGUAGUUUGAUUUUUUCUCCAAAUCAGUCUAAUUGGUUUAUAAGGAGUGUUCCGUGACUCAAUAUGUUUGGUUUGUCGACAAUCUCAUUGACUCUUCCAAGGAUGUGGAGGUACUUGUCGAAAGCAGAGUUAUUAUUGAAUCUCAUUAACAAACUCAGCAAAGAAGCUUUCAUAGCCCCAAGCCACAACUUUACAAACAGCUAAAUGACCACUGCAAAAUCGACACAAGUGGAAGGCCACUUUGAGGCAUGAUUAUUUCCGGACUCCAUGGCGCGUCAUAUAUGUUAUUGUGGCUGAGAUUCUCAUGUUGCUCACUUUUACAUAAACAAUCGUGACUAUUUUUAGACUUUGUGGUGGGUCAUCUAUGCUGUGGUGGUUGAGAUUCUCCUAUUCACCUUCACCUUUGUGGCGGGUAAUAUCUGUUGUUGUGGCCGAGAUUCUCCUUUUGUUCACCUUCACCUUUGUAGCGGGUCAUAUCUGUUAUUUUGACUGAAAUUCUCUUGUUGCUCACCUUAACACAAACACUCAGUGACUAUUUUCAGACUCCGUGGCGGGUCAUAUCUGUUGUUAUUAGGGGCGAAGCCAGAAUGAAUAUUCAGUGGGGUUAAAAGUGUUAAAAUUUAUAUUUAGUGGGGAUAAAAGAGUCAAAAUUUAUGUUCAAUGGGGUUAAAAUUAUAAAUUUAUAAAAUUUAGGAUAAAUUAUUAAUUUUAUGGGAUCAAAAUUAUAUUUAUAAUAAAUUAUAUUAAAAAAAUAGUAUAAUUAUUUUUUCAAUAAGAUAAAUUGACACCAUUUGCCCUCACACGUCCGCCCUGAUUGUUGUGCAUGAGAUUCUCCUGUGGCUUCACAUAAACAGUGUGCUCUAUAAUAGCUUAAAGACAUACCAUUUAUUGGUUCACGUGACUAUUGGAAGUAUCUGCCGCUAGAAAAUUAAAGGCAUAUCAUUUAUUGGUUCACAUGACUACUGGAUGUAUCUGCGGCCCGGGGCCUAGCGCCUAAGCGGAGUCUAGACAACUACCGAUUUUUAGAAUACUGAUAAUGAUGCGUUCACCACAAUGGAGAGAGAGUGCAGUUGACUUGACUUGAAUUGAGUGGAAACUUGGUCUACAAGAACGUUAUACAUGGAUCUGGUCGUAUAAAUUUCACUUAGACUUUUUGG
rnacentral:lncRNA from 1 species